UCUUCCGUAGUAUAGUGGUCAGUAUAUGAGCUUGUCAUCUUGCCUUGCCUCCUAGGAGAUUAGGAAGGACAUCGCUCGGGACCCGGGUUCAAUUCCCGGCGGGAGAG